CUAAAAACUUGGACUUUCAUGAUCAAUUCCUAGUAGCUUCACUGUAUUGUUUUUCAAUAUAUAUUCUCCCUUCCAUUAAUCCAAAUCUCAAUCCCAUUUCAGCGUUAGUUCAAUCAUAAACAUAUCUCGUUUCAACUUAAUAAUCAUUAUUGUCGUACUAAGUCGCCAAACAUGUCUUGUCUAUCCGCUGUUUUGAUGUUUAUGUUGUGCGGCGUCGCCAUUAUUCAUGUCUGUCAUGCUCGGAUGUUUCUGGAUGAUCCAAUCGAGAAAGUUGGAGUGAGCAGAGAGGAUUAUUUGAAGAUCCAUCGUCGCCGUCAACCGGCCGUUUCAUGGCCGCACGUUCUUCCUCCUAAGAAACACAACAACAAAGGAAGAAGAGGAAUCAUUGAGUUUGAGCCUUCUUCUG